GCCGUAGUAGCUAGGAACUUAUACAAAACACCAAGAAUUAACUUUUUACUCUCUCAACACAGAAUCUAGUGUGGCAGUUGGGCAGCAGCGCAGAGCCCACAUAUUAUAAUUCAACUAAGUAUAACACUAGUUCAACAAUUAUCAAGCACCUGGUUGACAUCGAAUUUACACAACUGAACUAGGUUAGGAGCUUUUCGAGGGGUGAUAAUGUGAACAGCCUGUCCUAUGUAUUGUGGUAUACAGUGGCAUCAAAAGGUUACUAGCCAUAGAAUGAACACCUGUAGAAAAAACAUAGAAGUUCAGAGGCUGUUCUAUACCCUGUUAGUAGUAGCAAAAAUUCACAAACCAAACAGACACAAGAAAAAAAGGCCUCGCCGAGAAAAAAUAAGCUAACUUCUAGACUGUAUGUAAUGGCCGAGGUCGUGGCAAUCCCAGGGUUGCUUGUCACAGCGGCGGAUGGGGUGGCGGCGUGUGGGGGCUGCCAUGAAGAAAAAGUAUGGAUGUUAGCAAAGAAAGAUAGGAUAAAUUAAGGUAUGUCAUUUAGGAAAAUAAAUGAAAGUUUGUUCUGCAUGGUUUCUCCAACAAAAUCAAUUUCUUCAUUUCGGUACCCUACAUUUUGUAUUGCAGGUAGAAUUUUCAGUAAUGUAUGCAAUCAUCCAAGAAACAAAGCAGUACCUCAAUUCUCUGUAGCUCAAGUUCCACAAAUCACUAGUCCAUGUAUUUCUAGUGCAAGUGCAUAUUUUUGAUUGAGCCAUCAAAAACUCUCUUUUUUUACCUGAAAGUGGUGAGGGAAAUAAGACAAAACGUUGUAUAUGAUUUAGAAAACAUAACUGGACUACUACUGGCUAGUGACUGAGCAUAUGCCCAUGAAGAAUUAACUGCUGAUCAAACAGCCACAUGCUCUGGUUUCACUCCUCUAAUAGCAAGUACGCAGUAGUUCAAGAUGAAAACAGGCUGAAGAAUAAGGCAUCAGUUCUAACUAACAAGAAGUAAUUCACCUGCUCCUUCUAUAGUUGUAUCCAUGAGCGGAUGUUUUAACUGCUCUGUUGGUGAUGAUGCUCUGGUUUAACUGCUCCAUAAUUCUUUUUUAACAACAUAUCAAAUGAACAGCUAAUCAAAAUUAGAACGGGACUCUUUUUUUAUGCAGACCCAAUUGUUUAUUUAACAUACUAUAAGACGAAGAACAGAGAAGCAUUCAUACCAACAUUACUGAAUUGCAAACAAUAUUGUAGAAACAAACAUCAGAGCUACCUAUCGACAGUCCAAGUACACAC
rnacentral:lncRNA from 1 species